rnacentral:lncRNA from 1 species
AAAAAAAAAAAAAAAAAAUAAAAUAAAAUAAAAAAAAAAAAAUAAAAAAUAAAAAAAAAAUAUUGCAUGUUUUUUUUUUAUUUUUUUUUUUUUUUUUUUUUUAUGAUUAGGUUUUAUACAAUUAAAAAGUGAAAAAAGUUAUACACUAAAAAAAAAAAAAAAAAAAAAAAAAAAAAAAAAAAAAAAAAAAAAAAAAAAAAAAAAAAAAAAAAAAAAAAAAAAAAAAAAAAAACGGUGCAAGAAAAGAACAAUAAAAACAACAAAAAAGUAUUAAUUAAACGGAUAAUUAUAUAUCAUUCUUUCUUUUUCUUUGUUUGUCUAAUUAUCAGUCCUAAUUUAAAAUUAUUUGUGUUAUGUCUAUUUUUUAUUUUUUUUAUUUUAUUAUUUGUUUGUAUACUAUAAUUGUUUAUGUGAUUGAUAAACUUAAUUACUAGCUAUGAUGAUAAUUUUUUUCAUAUUUGUCUAUACAUUUACAUUCAUAUUCUACAUUUACUACAUCUACUACAUCUACU